AGUAUUUUGACUAUACAAAGGUAUUGUAAUAAGAUUUUAAUUGAAUGCUAAAAGAAUGGAAAUUUAAAAAAAAACUUUUUUAAAAAUAAAAAUUGAAUUUUUUUUAAUUUGUGCAAAAACAAUUAUACUUAUUAAAGACAAGAAGACCCUAAGAAUUUAAGAUUUUACAAUUAAAAAGUUUUUUUUUAAAAUCUUGAUUGGGGCGAUCAAAAAAUAUUAAUAACUUUUUAAAAUUUAAAUUGAUCUAUUAUUAAUAAACUAAUGAAUUAAAUACUCUAGGGAUAACAGCGUAAUAAUUUUUGAUAGAUCUUAUUGACAAAAUAGUUUGCGACCUCGAUGUUGGAUUAGGAUUCUUUUUUAAUGAAGAAGUUAAAAAAAGAAGUUUGUUCAACUUUUAAAUUCCU
rnacentral:rRNA from 1 species